GUUUGAUCCUGGCUCAGGAUGAACGCUGGCGGCGUGCUUAACACAUGCAAGUCGAACGAACCUUCGGGUUAGUGGCGGACGGGUGAGUAACGCGUGAGAAUCUGCCCUCAGGAGGGGGAUAACGGUUGGAAACGACCGCUAAUACCCCAUAUGCCGAUAGGUGAAAUGAAUUUCGCCUGAGGAUGAGCUCGCGUCUGAUUAGCUAGUUGGUGAGGUAAUGGCUCACCAAGGCUUCGAUCAGUAGCUGGUCUGAGAGGAUGAUCAGCCACACUGGGACUGAGACACGGCCCAGACUCCUACGGGAGGCAGCAGUGGGGAAUUUUCCGCAAUGGGCGAAAGCCUGACGGAGCAACGCCGCGUGAGGGACGAAGGCCUCUGGGCUGUAAACCUCUUUUCUCAAGGAAGAAGAUAUGACGGUACUUGAGGAAUAAGCCACGGCUAAUUCCGUGCCAGCAGCCGCGGUAAUACGGGAGUGGCAAGCGUUAUCCGGAAUUAUUGGGCGUAAAGCGUCCGCAGGCGGCCUUUCAAGUCUGCUGUUAAAGCGUGGAGCUUAACUCCAUCAUGGCAGUGGAAACUGAUAGGCUUGAGUAUGGUAGGGGCAGAGGGAAUUCCCGGUGUAGCGGUGAAAUGCGUAGAUAUCGGGAAGAACACCAGUGGCGAAGGCGCUCUGCUGGGCCAUUACUGACGCUCAUGGACGAAAGCCAGGGGAGCGAAAGGGAUUAGAUACCCCUGUAGUCCUGGCCGUAAACGAUGAACACUAGGUGUCGGGGGAAUCGACCCCUUCGGUGUCGUAGCUAACGCGUUAAGUGUUCCGCCUGGGGAGUACGCACGCAAGUGUGAAACUCAAAGGAAUUGACGGGGGCCCGCACAAGCGGUGGAGUAUGUGGUUUAAUUCGAUGCAACGCGAAGAACCUUACCAGGGUUUGACAUCCUGCGAACCUCUUAGAAAUUUGAGGGUGCCUUCGGGAAUGCAGUGACAGGUGGUGCAUGGCUGUCGUCAGCUCGUGUCGUGAGAUGUUGGGUUAAGUCCCGCAACGAGCGCAACCCACGUUUUUAGUUGCCAGCAUUUAGUUGGGCACUCUAGAAAGACCGCCGGUGAUAAACCGGAGGAAGGUGUGGAUGACGUCAAGUCAUCAUGCCCCUUACACCCUGGGCUACACACGUACUACAAUGCUACGGACAAAGGGCAGCAAACUCGCGAGAGCUAGCAAAUCCCAUAAACCGUGGCUCAGUUCAGAUCGUAGGCUGCAACUCGCCUACGUGAAGUAGGAAUCGCUAGUAAUCGCAGGUCAGCAUACUGCGGUGAAUACGUUCCCGGGCCUUGUACACACCGCCCGUCACACCAUGGAAGUUGG
rnacentral:rRNA from 1 species